rnacentral:rRNA from 1 species
CGCUGGGCGGGAUGCCUAAACAUGCAGUCGCACGAGAAGCCCGGUUCGCCGGGCGAGUAAAGUGGCGCACGGGUGAGUAACGCGUGGAUAAUCUACCUCGUUCUGGGGGAUAACCCAUCGAAAGGUGGGCUAAUAUCGCAUAAUCCGGCUGAAUCGGGGGUUUGGUCGGCAAAGGUGGCCUCUUGAUCAAAGCUACCGGGAAGAGAUGAGUCCGCGUCCCAUUAGCUAGUUGGUAGGGUAACGGCCUACCAAGGCGACGAUGGGUAGCUGGUCUGAGAGGACGAUCAGCCACACUGGAACUGGUACACGGUCCAGACUCCUACGGGAGGCAGCAGUGAGGAAUAUUGCGCAAUGGGGGAAACCCUGACGCAGCGAUGCCGCGUGGGUGAAGAAGGCCUUCGGGUCGUAAAGCCCUGUCAAGUGGGAAGAAUAGUCCUAGGGCUAAUAUCCUUAGGGCAUGACGGUACCACUGAAGGAAGCACCGGCUAACUCCGUGCCAGCAGCCGCGGUAAGACGGAGGGUGCGAGCGUUAUUCGGAUUUAUUGGGCGUAAAGAGCGUGUAGGCGGCCGGCCAAGCCAGAUGUGAAAGCCCAGGGCUUAACCCUGGAAGUGCAUUUGGAACUGGUUGGCUUGAGUUCGGGAGAGGGAAGUGGAAUUCCGGGUGUAGAGGUGAAAUUCGUAGAUAUCCGGAGGAACACCGGUGGCGAAGGCGACUUCCUGGACCGAAACUGACGCUGAGACGCGAAAGCGUGGGGAGCAAACAGGAUUAGAUACCCUGAUAGUCCACGCUGUAAACGAUGGGCGCUAGGUGUGGGGGGUUUUUAAUCCCUCCGUGCCGCAGCUAACGCAUUACGCGCCCCGCCUGGGGAGUACGGCCGCAAGGUUA